rnacentral:rRNA from 1 species
UACGUAGGGUGCAAGCGUUGCCCGGAUUUAUUAGGCGUAAAGAGCUCGUAGGCGGCCUGUUGCGUCCGCUGUGAAAGCCCGGGGCUUAACCCCGGGUCUGCAGUGGAUACGGGCAGGCUAGAGGUAGGUAGGGGAGAAUGGAAUUCCCGGUGUAGCGGUGAAAUGCGCAGAUAUCGGGAGGAACACCGGUGGCGAAGGCGGCUCGCUGGGACGUUACUGACACUGAGGCGCGAAAGCGUGGGGAGCGAACAGG